CAAAAACAUCGCCUCCUGUUUCAACAACAUAGGAGGUCCCGCCUGCCCAGUGAUUAAAGGUUUAACGGCCGCGGUAUCCUAACCGUGCGAAGGUAGCGCAAUCAAUUGUCUCUUAAAUGGGGACCUGUAUGAAUGGCAUAACGAGGGCCAAACUGUCUCUUUUUCCUGGUCAAUGAAACUGAUCUGCUUGUGCAGAAGCGAGCAUAUUCAUACAAGACGAGAAGACCCUGUGGAGCUUUAGACGCCCACCAACUAUGAAAAGCAAAGCUCUUAACGCGAGCUCUAAACAACAUGGCCCUGGCAUAAACGUCUUCGGUUGGGGCGACCCUGGGAGAAAAAACAGCUCCCAAGCGGAUGGGACCUUACCCAUAUAACUAAGAGCCACAACUCUAAGUCUCGAUAAAUUCGACCGAAACAUGAUCCGGCCCAUCGCCGAUCAACGAACCAAGUUACCCCAGGGAUAACAGCGCAAUCCCCUCCCAGAGUCCAUAUCGACGAGGGGGUUUACGACCUCGAUGUUGGAUCAGGACAUCCUAAUGGUGCAGCCGCUAUAAGGGUCG
rnacentral:rRNA from 1 species